GGUUGCAAUUGGGACUCAUGACUUGGAUACGCUAGAAGGCCCCUUCAGCUAUGAGGCUUUGCCGCCUUCCAGUAUAAGUUUCGUCCCCUUGAAGCAGUUUCUGUUCUGAUAUUAGGUGAAGAACUUCAGAGCUGAUGAACUAAUGGAAUUUUAGAAGUCAGAUUUGAAAUUGAAGAAGUUCUUGCACAUAAUAGAGAACUCGCCUGUGUUCCCUAUUAUCUAUGAUUCAAAGAG